UACGUAGGGGUCGAGCGUUGUCCGGAGUUACUGGGCGUAAAGCGUGCGCAGGCGGCUCAUUGCGCCCGGCGUGAAAGCCCCCGGCUCAACCGGGGAGGGUCGUCGGGGACGGGUGAGCUUGAGGGUAUCAGGGGUUGGUGGAAUUCCCGGUGUAGUGGUGAAAUGCGUAGAUAUCGGGAGGAACACCUGUGGCGAAAGCGGCGCACUGGACCACAACUGACGCUGAGGCGCGAAAGCUAGGGGAGCAAACAGG
rnacentral:rRNA from 1 species